UGACUUAAAUGGUUUUAAUCCUUGGAAUAUGCUAAAACAUACUACAUGGUAUCCUAUAGGGCUUGUUUCCUUAUUUUUAAUUUUGUAUUAUUUUCUCACAGUCAAAUGCAGUCUCGUCAAAUCCCAGUUCCAAUACCUCCAAGUAGACAUGCAUCAAUUGCAGUUAAAAAAUAAGGUGGAGAUGUGGAGAGCAGAUGAGCCCCUGGUUGAUGUCAGCUGAUCCUGUGGUGUUGGCAAAAGUCAAGUCUGGGAAACAUUCCUUGCCAAAAAGGCAAGGAUGCAGCAGGAUGUUCCUAGCAUUGCAACAGUAGGGUAACUGCAGAAAUAGUUCUACUUCUGUAACUUUUUAGUGUGCAGAGAAGACUCUUGGUAACUCACAAGACUUGAACAAUUUACAUUGCCCCUCUAGUUAAACUUCCUAAUUAUGAGACCCUUUAUAAUAAACUUGCAAAGCUAGUUCUGGGUCACUGUUCCCCCAUCAGAGUGUCCCAGUGUCCCAUAGUCCCAGCUUUACUUCAGAAUGUCUCUGUUUUUCUCCAUCUCCCAUCACCCCUACUUGAGGUCCUUUGUUGAUGCUGCGUGGGUCUGGCAGAGAGCUGAGUUCUACAUUAAUGAAUAACUCAAGUUUGUCUACAGAGAAGCUAUAAGAAAAAUCUCUGUUCAGAGAAAAAUCAGCUUUCCCCCUUCAUUUCAGGCAGUCCUUGUUAUAAUUCUUUUUUUUUUUUUUAAGGUUUUUAAAGGUAGACAUAAUACAUUUAUUUAUUUAUUUUUAUGCGGUGCUGAGGAUUGAACCCGUCGGCCUACGUGUUCAAGGCUGAGCUGUAACCCCAGCCGCCAUGCAUUAUAAUUCUGGAGCAAUUCUCUUUGAGUUCCCAAGAACCCAGACUUGCUUUUGCUAUUGACUUGGCAGAAGUUCCUGCAAAGCAUUUUUUUUAACUUUAUAUUUAGAAAUAAUUUUAAUCUUAUAUAGUUAUAUAGAAUUCCUGAAUUGUCUCUUAUUCGGAUUCCCCCCCACCCUUUUUUUUUAAAAUUUAGAUACAGGGUCUCACUGAGUUGCUUAGUACCUCCCUGUUGAUGAGGCUGGCAUGAUCCUCCUCCCUCAGCUUUCUGAGCUGCUGGGAUUACAGGCAUGCUCCAUUGUGCCUGGCUAGAUACAUCAAUUUUUAAAAAAUAGUUGAAGAUGAAAAAAAUACCUUUAGUUUUAGGAUAGAACCUAGUGCCUUACACUUGCUAAAAAAGGCGCUUUAGUAUUAGAGCCCCAGCCCCAGCCCAGAUUCAUCAAUUCUUAACAUUUUGACCCAUUUAACAUUCUCUUUACUGCAAGCCUACUAUUUAUAUUUAUGAAAUAUUCUAAAAUAGCUUACCCCAAAUUUCUGUAUGAAUUACUAAAGAACAAGGAUCAUUUUUUUAAAUAAAGAUGUUUGACACUGAUUAUCAUGUUCUGAUGUCAAUUAUUCCAAUAAUGUCUGUUUUAAGCAGUUUUUCCUCUAUUACAGUUUAGUACACAUUGCAUAAAAGUUGCCAUGCCUUUAGUCUCUUUAAUAUGGA
rnacentral:lncRNA from 1 species